rnacentral:rRNA from 1 species
GACGAACGCUGGCGGCGUGCUUAACACAUGCAAGUCGAACGGAAAGGCCCUGCUUUUGUGGGGUGCUCGAGUGGCGAACGGGUGAGUAACACGUGAGUAACCUGCCCUUGACUUUGGGAUAACUUCAGGAAACUGUGGCUAAUACCGGAUAGGAGCUCCUGCUGCAUGGUGGGGGUUGGAAAGUUUCGGCGGUUGGGGAUGGACUCGCGGCUUAUCAGCUUGUUGGUGGGGUAGUGGCUUACCAAGGCUUUGACGGGUAGCCGGCCUGAGAGGGUGACCGGCCACAUUGGGACUGAGAUACGGCCCAGACUCCUACGGGAGGCAGCAGUGGGGAAUAUUGUACAAUGGGCGGAAGCCUGAUGCAGCAACGCCGCGUGCGGGAUGACGGCCUUCGGGUUGUAAACCGCUUUCGCCUGUGACGAAGCGUGAGUGACGGUAAUGGGUAAAGAAGCACCGGCUAACUACGUG